GAUGAACGCUGGCGGCGUGCCUAAUACAUGCAAGUCGAGCGAAUGGAUUAAGAGCUUGCUCUUAUGAAGUUAGCGGCGGACGGGUGAGUAACACGUGGGUAACCUGCCCAUAAGACUAGGAUAACUCCGGGAAACCGGGGCUAAUACCGGAUAACAUUUUGAACCGCAUGGUUCGAAAUUGAAAGGCGGCUUCGGCUGUCACUUAUGGAUGGACCCGCGUCGCAUUAGCUAGUUGGUGAGGUAAAGGCUCACGAAGGCAACGAUGCGUAGCCGAGCUGAUAGGGUGAUCGGCCACACUGGGACUGAGACACGGCCCAGACUCCUACGGGAGGCAGCAGUAGGGAAUCUUCCGCAAUGGACGAAAGUCUGACGGAGCAACGCCGCGUGAGUGAUGAAGGCUUUCGGGUCGUAAAACUCUGUUGUUAGGGAAGAACAAGUGCUAGUUGAAUAAGCUGGCACCUUGACGGUACCUAACCAGAAAGCCACGGCUAACUACGUGCCAGCCGCCGCAGUAA
rnacentral:rRNA from 1 species